rnacentral:lncRNA from 1 species
AUACUAAAUAGAGUGUUUUAAUACAUACUUGACAGGAUUAAGUUUAUAUAUUUUGACACUAAAACCACAGUAAUUUUUUUAUAACCAUGGAAACAUUUUUUAAUGGCUCAUUUGAGAGAUUGGAAAGAAAACCUUACCAAUUCACCCUAACUUCAUCAGUGGUUACAUUUCAGGUUAUGAGUCACUCUAAUCUCUUUAUGUACACCCCAAAAUUUUACAGUUAAUAUUACUUCUACUUACAGAUAAAUUAAGCUCAGACAUUUAAAAAUUGAACAAAAAUGCAAAAAGAAGAGUAAGGCAGAUGGAAACUAUACAGACUGUAACGUUUGGUGAUUAGGAAAUCACUUAUGAGUUACUGAGAGAGAAUGUUGAGAAAGGUGCCAGAUCACAUGGUACUAUAAAAUAGAGAAAAAGAAGCAGAAACUCACAGCUCUUCCUGCAAAAUAUUUGGUGACUGAAGAAAGGUGAUAGAGGAAAGUAGCUUGAAAGUAAUCAAGAUCAGGGUAAGAAAUUUCAUUUAGAAUGAAGAGACAUGAAUUUACUAUUAUAGACAAAGGAAAAGGGUCAGUACAGAAGGAUAACUAGCCUGUGGAUGAAGAGAGGAUAGUUGCUCAAAGUCUAAGAGAAUGUAGACAAUGACAAAUCAUGGUUUCAGACGUGGAUUGUAACGUUAACCAGAGAGAGAUGCUUCUUCAAAACAAAAGGAAAUAAAGAGUGUGCUUAUACAUAUAUGGAAAAAAAUGUGGACAUGAAGAAGGAAAAAAAAUGAGCAGUGAUCUGAUCCAUCAGGACAUUCAAAUUUUCUGAGUCAGUGACUUCGAGUGGCAGAAAAUUUAAGAGAUGCAGUAUCUUCGGAGAGUAAUGACAUAUAAUCCACACAUUCAUGGAAGAAUGGAGACCUGAAGUCUUUGAAAGGGAGUAAGCAGAGAGGAAAAUAGAUGUGAACAGAUGAUCUACCUUAUUUUGGAAUUAAGAAACACUUGAAGAUUAUUCUCAGAAAUGCCAUAAGGGAUAUUUAAAAAUCUUGGAGCACACAAGAAGUACAAGAGGAAUGAAAAUGUCAUGUCUUAAUUUUCCAAAAAAGAGAAUAUUUUAGUUUUUAGUAUAUAAAGGCAGAUUAACAAACCUUCACACAAAUCUAAAUUUUAUUACUAAAUUAAUUGAUUACACUUUGUGUUUACUAGGUCACAGGGAAUUUCAGUGGGUUUACUCUGCAAAAGAUUUCAUGUGAAAUACAUUUUUCUAUUCUGAAAGGUUUUUCAAGAUUUUCAAGGCAACUAAGAAGUUUUCUAAAAAGACAGUGUUUGUAAUACAGGCUCUAUAGAAAGCAUCGUUGUGGAGGCCUCAGGAAACUUACAAUCAUGGCAGAAGGCGAAGGGAAGCAGGCACAUCUUACGUGGCUGGAGAAGGAGGAAGAGAGAGCAGAGGAAGGUGCUACACAUUUUUAAACAACCGGAUCUCAUGAGAACUCACUCACUAUCACAAGAACAGCAGGGAAAUCCACCCCCAUGAUUCUAUCACCUCCCACUAGCCCUCUCCUCCUUCAACACUGGGGAUUACAACUCCACAUAAGGUUUGGGCAGGGACACACAUCCAAACCAUAUCAUCACUAAUUAAUGUUUCUGAAAGCUAGAGUUACAUUACAACCACCUGAGGAGCUUUUAGAAAAUUACAGAUCCCUGAGCUUCCAUCUAGAUUGAUUAAAUAAAAAU